rnacentral:rRNA from 1 species
AGCAGUAGCCACGGUAAUACAGAGGGUGCGAGCGUUAAUCGGAUUUACUGGGCGUAAAGCGUGCGUAGGCGGCUUUUUAAGUCGGAUGUGAAAUCCCUGAGCUUAACUUAGGAAUUGCAUUCGAUACUGGGAAGCUAGAGUAUGGGAGAGGAUGGUAGAAUUCCAGGUGUAGCGGUGAAAUGCGUAGAGAUCUGGAGGAAUACCGAUGGCGAAGGCAGCCAUCUGGCCUAAUACUGACGCUGAGGUACGAAAGCAUGGGGAGCAAACAGGAUUAGAUACCCCGGUAGUCCCUGUCUCUUAUAC